CACAUGUGCAUCCAACACGCCUACACCAGCCUCGCCAUUGUGGCUUUGAGUACCACUAUAUGUGUCCCUUCCAGAUGAAAGAAAAUUAAGAUUCGGUUCCAGUGCUGAUGCCACGGCAGGGCCAACCGCCCAGGCAAAGCAGGACAUCCCUCCAGCACCACAUAGAAAGAGGAAGAACAACAAAAAUUAAUCAUACCGAAGAGAAAAUAGAAUCUCCAUCUUCACACAACCACCACCCAUCCGAGGACCCAACCGACCAGUGCCGGUCGACCUCCAGACACUAUAGCCGCGACCUCGACGAGAUCCGGGGAUCCCCCACCCCACUAGCCCCUAGACGAAGGCAAGAGCUUCGUCUGACCGUGAGCGGAGUCCAAAGAAUCUUAUUCAAACGCGACGUCGCCGCAACAACCUUGGCAGCAUCUCCCUCAAACCUAACCCUACUGCGAACCCACCCCACGCACAAAUCCAAGGCCCUCCUCCCUCCCGCCACCGGCACGGCCGGCGGAGGGAGAGGGAACAGCGGCAGUGCCGGCGACACGCAAAGGAAAGCCCCGCUCGCCUCCUUUCCGCCUGUGCAGGCGAUCCAAUCUGAAAGGACGAGCGGCGAACACAACAAAACAAUGGUAUUUGACCAUUGCUAGUACUCCUAGAAGAGAUCAUGGUGCUCCCUCGACUUGGCUUGGCUGGUCGACGAGGAGUGGCGGCUGUUCGUCUAGAACGCGCGGUAGGUUUUUGCGACGGUAAAAUUAUUGUAUGUACGGGCAAUCCAACGGCCCCGGUUUUACCAAAGUGCAAUCGCUUCUCUCCAACCCUGCCGCCCGAAGGCUGCAGCCAUGCGGCGGCACUACGCCGAGCUCUUCCGCCGCGCCGCCUCGCUGCCGUCUCUCUCGCUGGUGGCCUCCCUCCACGGCGCCGCACUCCGCCGAGGCGCGGUCCUCGUCCCCUCGCUCAUCCAUGCCUACUCCGCGUGCGGCGACCCAGCCUCCGCCCGCAGCGUGUUCGACGGAUUGCCCGCACAGGAGCAGACGCUCUCCGCGCGCACCGCGCUGGCCAGCGCGAUGUCCGCGCACGGCAGGUGCCGGGAGGUGCUCGGCCUGUUCCGCGGACGGGAGGGGGAGAUGGACGACAAGGCGGUGACGGUGGUCCUUGCCGCGUGCGCUAGCGAUGAGGAUCCUCUGACGUACGGCAGCCUGCCGUUCCGUCACUGACAUGUGGGCCCGUUGGGAGCCUGGUCCACAUGUCAGUGGCCCAACGGCACGUAACGCACGGCAGAGGAGCGUCUUCCGUGUGCUAGGGCCGGGAUGGUCAGUGAGGGGAGGGAAGUCUUCGCGAGGGUCAGGAGGCCAGCGUUGCAGCACUACACGUGCAUGGUGGAGAUGCUCGGACGUGCUGGGGAGGUCGAGGAGGCAGAGGGGCUGCUCGCGCGGAUGGAGGCACGGCCAGACAGGAUCAUCUGCACGGUGCUGCUCGCUGCGUGCCGGGCGCAUGGCCGUGUCGAUGUGGCUGAGAGAGUGGCUAGGUUGAUGAGCGAGUAUGGCAUUGUGUGAAUUUUGGCAUAUUGAUCUGUUGACAAACUGGCCAUUGUGUGAGGCUGUUAGCCAAGACCAGUGAUCAAAACCAUUGUGAUAUGGAGCUGAUAACACAUAGUUUGAUUGACGGCAAUGGUGGUUCAUGAAGUUCAUGCAGUAAUGCAGUAUACAACACAAGCACCUGGCCGGUGAGAUCUGAAUUUUGUAGAAGUCUAUGCUGCAGUGGACGGACCACAUGAGCGCCAGCACACUUCACUGCUUGAACCUGUAUGGAAGCACAGUUCGAAGGCACCUAUCAGAUUGCUAUAAAAUGGGUAACGCCGGUACUAUAGACCAUCUGUAGUGGAAUGCCCGUCAGUUUUCUCAGUUGCUGACUGUCUAAGCUCUCUGAGUAGCUUGAUGAUGGGCGUACAUUUCUCAUUUCUGGACUGUAAGUUGUCAAGCUUAAUGGAGCCUGGCAGCCCGUAAUGCAACACAAAGAGAAGUCGCCAAAGUUAAUAGCCGAACUUGUCAAUAUUGUUAAUAGCCGUAACUGUCAAUCUUGACUUCUUGAGUGAAUUGUUGAGGAGCAGUUUCGAUCAAACUGUCAAUCUUGACUUCUUGAGUGAAUUGUUGAGGAGCAGUUUCGAUCAAAUUUUGUUGAAGCUGGAUGUGGUGGGAACUAUCAAAAUACAGGAAGUCUGCUCCAAGAACCUGUUGUGAGAUCUUCUAGGAUUCAGUUUUCGGAUACUUCAUAGUUCUGGCAUUCUCUCACGGUGGAAACUGUACCUCCUGCUAUGUUUCAAUUUACUGAGCAUAGAUCAUCUGUUUUAAAUGGUUAGUCCCUUCACUAUUGUGUCCACUGUCACAGCAAUCAACGGAUCUUAUUCUGGACAUAUGUGCAAUGACGCUUGAGCAAAUCAGCUCUCUGAUAUAAAUACUCACGUUGACGCAAAACGUCCAUCUCGCAUGCGACACAUGGGUGCGAGGGAAUGCGGAGUUGGGUAUUGCUGGUAAGAGACAGAACAAGUGCAACCUGGUUGGGAAACUAGCAGGAGAGAUGAGGAAGCGGUUGUUCUGGUCACGAGCACAGCUGAGCUCGUUAUCUGGGCAGCUCGGCUCUUCAUUGGGAUGCGGUGCAUUCAAUUCCUGUGCCAGUGCGUUGAUCGUUUUUAAAGGAGGAAAUGUGGAAAUACAGUAGAUGGGUACGACGUACGUAGGUCUAGUUACGGAGCGGACGUUUGCUGCCGUGAUGGAUCUAAAGGAGAGCCGUGGCUCGUGACAUCAGUCCCGUCCUGAUCCGUGGAUCAGGAUGCAUGCUUUCCAGUAGGGCGGUAGUAGAGUAGUAAAUGAGGGAUGGCACCAAGACGGAGUUGCCUCCAAUCUCUACCUGCCCUGUUUGUGCACUGUAGCUUGCGGCUAGCUGAGCGGCGGAGUUCAUCCUGCAAGAAUACACAGCUGGCAGCGCAAAAAUGGAGUUCCUGAUGCAACCAAUUAGGAGGUAGUCCCGUGUGCAGCUUUCAGCCGAGUACAUCUUUUUUUGGAGUUUGCAUGAAAUCUAUAUAAUAUUUCAAGAUUUGGGCAAUCCAGGACCACGUUGCUGGAUGAGGUUAAUGACAACAAGGUUCCAAUGGAGCCACUGCACUACCAUGCGGUGGCAACUGUUGCUGAUCAGUUGUCACCCAUGGCGGCAACGAGUGCUGGCGGGCAGAUCUGUGCGGCAGAGGGGGCGGCGGUCACGGAAGCAGAUGGUGAAGCGCAAGCAAAGUAGAUAUGCAAUUUGAAAUCGUGUGCCUAGAUAGGGUGAGGAUCGGAGCUGCCGCUCCCGGUAGGACGCCUUGUCCUAGUCGCACGAGCGCCCUUGAGAAGGCAAUAUGUGGUUUUGCGGAGAAUCCAGGGAAUGUGAUUGUGUCUGCAUCGGGUACAUUGAAGGAAAUCUUUUCUUGUACUGCAUAGCUUUAUACAUUGUCGUACCAGACCUGCGAGUUUUAUGGAUAGGCAUGUCUUUGAGAACAAUAAUAUCAUCACAGUUCUGUCCAUACAUAUUUAUCGUUCAUUCUUCUGAAAUUAUGUGGACAAUAUCAGCAUUUUUAUUACUUUACCGUCAUAUCUCAUUAAUUGAUAUAGUUCAGGUCCACACUGUGUUCACUGCUUUUAUAUCACGGACAGAUUAUCUAAGAAUUUAGAAGUGAUUUUCUUUUCACAUAAUGUAAGUUACUGUUGCACAUGCUUUAUUCACUUCAUGAUCUUGCAGUCUGAAUACCAAUUGAUAGUGAUAAUGCUCGUACUUCUAAAAAACCGUGGUUGAAUAAGGAGGGAUUGCACUUGCCUGGUUGUACGGUGCCAUUCAGUUAUCAGUAGUCUAGCACAUCAUUUGUGAAGCAUGAAAGGCAUGAAUCAAUUCUUUUCCAGGAUUCUGGCUUUGUUGACUGAAGUGGGUAUUGUUAGGAUCCAGAGCGGUUAAAUUCAGGAACUGUGAUUGUUAAUUAUGUAGUCUUAUUUGUGAUUUACCUGUAACUACAGUGCUAAUUCUACAUCUCUGAGUCUUAUUUGACUCUUGUUUAUUGGUAUUUGAUAGAUGAGCAGGAUAGGAAAGGUUAAUAUCGGAAGUGCUGUUCUGCGCCUGGGUGCAUACACACCCGAGCUGAACAGUAGUAAAUUUAGAAAAAAAGAUAGGAAUAAAUAAACUUUGAUUUUUUAUUGCAUUCUAUAUAUAGAAUUGUCCAAAUUCUUCUGAAGCAUCCAGAUACCAUUGCCAAACCAAACAUCAGGAUGUGGUUUGACCUGAUGGAUGAUUGCUGUGCUCACCAUGCCAUUGGAUGUAGGAAUUUAUGGGAUGGAAACUUUGAGAUCAUUAUGAACUUUGCCAGGAUACCCUUUUUGUAAUGGGAUUUUUUUGGAUUCAUAAUCUCUGUUUGUUCUUUUGCACAUGGCGGGAGCGGCCUGUUUCAGUCUUGGAUUACUAAUGCGUGCUGAGUUGCUGCUGCCUUUUGAUCAGAUUGUAAGUGUAAACUCAAACAGGUGGCGGAAGCCUGUGUUGCUGCCUUUGGGACAAGUGGAAGCAUCACUGCCUUUUCAUGUACAACCACGAGUAUGUUGUGGCUGCCGGAGCAGCUCUCCCCUGUGCCAGACAUUUGCUUCGCCGGUGCCGACAGACAGAUGGAGACGAUGGAUGAAGGAGCAACCGGUGGCUGGCAGCCAAGGCAAAGGCAAGGCAAGGAGGACCUUCCAGCUGCAUCCUCGGAGGAAAUACUGACCGUGAACUCAUCCGUCAUGGCGUUCUCCUGAUCCGUGGAAUGUACCGGAUGGAUUCCGAUCCCCGUGCCCGUCGCAGGUGCCGUUUGCUCGACGGCUGUCCACGGCCGUUGCUUUCGGUUUGCCGACUGGGGCUGGAGUGCAGGGCGUGCAAAGGUCCAAACUGAGCGCUGCCGUGCCAAGCUACGGUUAGCGUUGCUUUCACCCUUGGUCUCUUCUCCGUGUUUAUCUGAUUGCGCUGCAAUGCCGCAUGCAUCCGGUGUUUGUCUACUUCCGUGUCUUUCUUUUGCUGGCUGUCGACAAGUCGUGUAUUUUCCCUUUUGGAACUGAAGUCGAUCUACCUUGCACGCAAGGAGCGCGGAAUUCAGUCUAUAUUUUCUUGAUUUUCCUGAUAUAGUAUUUGAACAGUGUUCAACACUAUGUUUCUUAGCAAAAUACUUACUACCUCGUUAUAUUA